CAGGAGAUCCCACGCCAGACCUCGGGGAAUGACUGUGGUGUUUUCAUGCUCAUGUACUCCCUCUGGCUCUGUACAGACACUACUUUUCACUACAGUGUGCUGGACAUGCAGUCAAUCCGGCGUUGGUGGUGUGUCCUUCUAAUGGAGCGCUUUGGCAUUGAAGGGUAGGACAACUUCUUGAAAUAUCUGAUGUAUUGUUUAUCAUGAUUAGUAACUGCCUGCGAUGAGAUGGCGACUUGUCCAGGGUGUACCCUGCCUUCCGCCCGAAUGCAGCUGAGAUAGGCUACAGCGACCCCAAAAAGGGACAAGCGGUAGAAAAUGGAUGGAAGGAUGGAUUAGUAACUGUAAUCUGAAGAGCUUUUCUUCAAUUUCCCCAAAGGCAUGGCCAGAGGUUCUGUUAUUGGACAGACAAGGCGAGCGGCCUAUUGCAGGGCAUUCUUCAGCCAGUCU